AUUGAUUGUGAUGGAAACAUAUGAAUCAUGUAUAGAAUAUAUGUCUACAAAAUGACGAGGAUUAGAUUAACUUCAAAGGUCACCGUCACCUAAAUAAACUUUAUUAGGAAUCGUAUGCAUCCCCCGAGUUACUCUAAUCUUCGUCUCGCAAACAUACCACAGAAUCCUAUGCAUGAACAGCGUUAAAUAUCUUCGGAAUCUCCGUUGACUUUAACGACAACUACUCUUCUUCUUGAUAUCUCUCUCUAUAUAUUUAAACCUCUGCCUUUUCAAAAUGUUCUUUCUCAAAUUCUCGUUUGUUCUCUGUAAACCAAGCUUUCUGAGAGGUGCUUUUCUUUUCUAUUUUUUCUAUGUGCUUCAGACUUAAUCAGAUAAGCUGGAGAGGGUGGAGAAAUCAAAACCAUUUAUUAAUAAUUUCAGAGCCAAGUUUCGAUCGAAACAAAUGCCUAUGAAUAUAAUUCAUGAUGGUAAUGGAGUUCCAUCUAGGAUUAUACUGAGGGAGCCAAGUGGAUCAUCAGCUGAGGUUCAUCUUUACGGUGGGCAAGUGACUUCCUGGAAGAAUGGCCGCAAAGAGGAACUGCUUUUCAUGAGUACCAAGAGCAACUGGAAGCCGCCUAAGGCAAUUAGAGGUGGUAUACCUGUUUGCUUUCCUCAGUUUGGAAAUCUAGGAACACUUGAGCAACAUGGAUUUGCUAGGAACAGAUUUUGGGAAUUAGAUAGCUGUCCUGCUCCUCUACCACCUUCUAACAACCAUUCGUCUGUCGAUUUAAUCUUGAGGUCCACAGAAGAAGAUCUUAAGGCGUGGCCUCGCAGUUUUGAGUUGCGGGUUCGUGUUUCAUUGAGUGCAGGCAAGCUGACUUUGAUCCCUAGAGUCAGAAACACUGACAACAAGCCCUUUUCCUUCACAUUCGCUCUGCGCAAUUACUUAUCUGUAUCAGAUGUCAGUGAGGUGCGUGUUGAGGGAUUGGAGACACUCGACUACUUCGAUAAUCUGAUGCAGAGGGAAAGGUUCACUGAGCAGGCAGAUGCCAUAACUUUUGAUGGCGAGGUUGAUCGAGUGUAUUUGAGCACGCCUACAAAGAUUGCCAUCAUAGACCAUGAGAAGAAAAGAACCUUUGUACUGAGAAAAGAAAGCCUGCCUGAUGCAGUUGUAUGGAACCCAUGGGACAAGAAAGCUAAGGCACUGGCAGAUUUUGGGGAUGACGAUUACAAGUCUAUGUUAUGUGUAGAUUCAGCUGCUGUUGAGAGUCCAAUCGUAUUGAAACCUUGUGAAGAGUGGAAGGGCCGGCAAGAAAUUUCUACUGUAUCAUCCAGUUAUUGCAGUGGCCAACUGGAUCCUCGCAAGGUUCUUAAUGGAUUUAGGUAAAUAAUCACAUUAUAGAUCAUGCUAAUUAUGCAAAGUUUCCUGUAAUAUAUAUGAAUUGGGUGCAUGUGAACUUGUCCCUGUAUCCCAUCUUUAUAUUUUUUUUAGUGAAUGGGAUAUGUAUGUCUGAUAAUCUUUGAUCACUUUAUGUGCUUCUUUUUGCAGACUC